rnacentral:rRNA from 1 species
CCUACGGGCGGCAGCAGUGGGGAAUAUUGGACAAUGGGGGGAACCCUGAUCCAGCCAUGCCGCGUGUGUGAAGAAGGCCCUCGGGUUGUAAAGCACUUUCAGUGAGGAAGAACGCCUGGUGGUUAAUACCCAUCAGGAAAGACAUCACUCACAGAAGAAGCACCGGCUAACUCCGUGCCAGCAGCCGCGGUAAUACGGAGGGUGCGAGCGUUAAUCGGGAUUACUGGGCGUAAAGCGCGCGUAGGUGGCUUGAUAAGCCGGUUGUGAAAGCCCCGGGCUCAACCUGGGAACGGCAUCCGGAACUGUCAAGCUAGAGUGCAGGAGAGGAAGGUAGAAUUCCCGGUGUAGCGGUGAAAUGCGUAGAGAUCGGGAGGAAUACCAGUGGCGAAGGCGGCCUUCUGGACUGACACUGACACUGAGGUGCGAAAGCGUGGGUAGCAAACAGGAUUAGAUACCCGAGUAGUC